GGCCAUAUCACAUUGAAAUAUUGGUUCCCAUAUGAUCACUGAAGUUAAGCAAUGUUCAGCAUAGUCAGCACCUAGAUAGGUGACUGCUUGGGAAUACCAGGUGAUGUAAG